CCGUUCCUGCCCUGUUCGCGGACUGUUCUAUUAUAACCCUACAAGCUACUUUUCGGGGUCCGGCUUGUGCGGCGGGAUGCAGACCUCCCGUUUAUUCCAUCGAGUUUAAACGGAAGAAGGGAGCGCAAAACCGCACACACGACACCCACCUGCCAUACGCAGGUUAUCUUUAGCGCAUUACGGCAGGGCGGGAGCAAG
rnacentral:other from 1 species